GACCUGGUGUGCAGGGGUUUGAGUGUUGGCCUAGGAUGCCAGGAGACCAGGGUUCGAAUCCUUGCUUGGCCA